UAGUAAAGAAGAAACUUUCUUUGAUUCCCAACCAUGGUUCGAGUCGUAUAUUGAAGAUUUUUAUAGUGUCAAUGGAGGUAUUAAAGAAGAAACCUUCUUCGAUUCCCAACCAUGGUUCGAGUCGUAUGGUGAAGAUUUUUAUAGUUUCAAUGGAGGUAGUAAAGUAGAAACCUUCUUCGAUUCCCAACCAUGGUUCGAGUCGUAUAUUGAAAAUUUUUAUAGUGUCAAUGG